UGCGACGCCCAACACACAAAACAAGCGGUGAGUGCUUUGGGGUGGGGUGACUGCGUACCUUUUGUAUAAUGGGUCAGCGACUUAUAUUCUGUAGCAAGGUUAACCGUAUAGGGGAGCCGAAGGGAAACCGAGUCUUAACUGGGCGUUAAGUUGCAGGGUAUAGACCCGAAACCCGGUGAUCUAGCCAUGGGCAGGUUGAAGGUUGGGUAACACUAACUGGAGGACCGAACCGACUAAUGUUGAAAAAUUAGCGGAUGACUUGUGGCUGGGGGUGAAAGGCCAAUCAAACCGGGAGAUAGCUGGUUCUCCCCGAAAGCUAUUUAGGUAGCGCCUCGUGAACUCAUCUUCGGGGGUAGAGCACUGUUUCGGCUAGGGGGUCAUCCCGACUUACCAACCCGAUGCAAACUGCGAAUACCGAAGAAUGUUAUCACGGGAGACACACGGCGGGUGCUAACGUCCGUCGUGAAGAGGGAAACAACCCAGACCGCCAGCUAAGGUCCCAAAGUCACAGUUAAGUGGGAAACGAUGUGGGAAGGCUCAGACAGCCAGGAUGUUGGCUUAGAAGCAGCCAUCAUUUAAAGAAAGCGUAAUAGCUCACUGGUCGAGUCGGCCUGCGCGGAAGAUGUAACGGGGCUAAACUGUGCACCGAAGCUGCGGCAGCGACGCUUAUGCGUUGUUGGGUAGGGGAGCGUUCUGUAAGCCUGCGAAGGUGUCCUGUGAGGGAUGCUGGAGGUAUCAGAAGUGCGAAUGCUGACAUAAGUAACGAUAAUGCGGGUGAAAAGCCCGCUCGCCGGAAGACCAAGGGUUCCUGUCCAACGUUAAUCGGGGCAGGGUGAGUCGACCCCUAAGGCGAGGCCGAAAGGCGUAGUCGAUGGGAAACGGGUUAAUAUUCCCGUACUUGGUGUUACUGCGAAGGGGGGACGGAGAAGGCUAUGUUGGCCGGGCGACGGUUGUCCCGGUUUAAGCGUGUAGGCUGGUUUUCCAGGCAAAUCCGGAAAAUCAAG
rnacentral:rRNA from 1 species